rnacentral:rRNA from 1 species
AGAGUUUGAUCCUGGCUCAGAACGAACGUUGGCGGUAUGCUUAACACAUGCAAGUCGAACGAGAAAGUCCGAAGCUUGCUUUGGACGAGUAGAGUGGCGCACGGGUGAGUAACGCGUGGGUAAUCUGCCUUUGAAUUUGGGAUAACACUUCGAAAGGGGUGCUAAUACCGGAUAACAUUUUUUUAACUGCGGUUAAGAGAAUCAAAGAUAGCCUCUUCAUGAAAGCUAUUGUUUGGAGAUGAGCCCGCGUACCAUUAGCUUGUUGGUAGGGUAACGGCCUACCAAGGCGACGAUGGUUAACUGGUCUGAGAGGAUGAUCAGCCACACUGGAACUGGAACACGGUCCAGACUCCUACGGGAGGCAGCAGUGAGGAAUUUUGCGCAAUGGGGGAAACCCUUGACGCAGCAACGCCGCGUGAGUGAUGAAGGUUUUCGGAUCGUAAAGCUCUGUCAAGUGGGAAGAAGUUAUCAUAUAUCAAUAGUAUAUGGUAUUGACGGUACCACUGAAGGAAGCACCGGCUAACUCCGUGCCAGCAGCCGCGGUAAUACGGAGGGUGCAAGCGUUAUUCGGAUUUACUGGGCGUAAAGGGCGCGUAGGCGGUCAGAUAAGUCAGAUGUGAAAGCCCGGGGCUCAACCCCGGAAGUGCAUUUGAAACUGUUUGGCUUGAGUAUGGUAGAGGGAAGUGGAAUUCCUGGUGUAGCGGUGAAAUGCGUAGAUAUCAGGAGGAACACCGGUGGCGAAGGCGACUUCCUGGACCAAUACUGACGCUGAGGCGCGAAGGUGUGGGGAGCAAACAGGAUUAGAUACCCUGGUAGUCCACACAGUAAACGGUGAUCACUAGGUGUUGCGGGUAUUGACCCCUGCAGUGCCGCAGCUAACGCAUUAAGUGAUCCGCCUGGGGAGUACGGUCGCAAGAUUAAAACUCAAGGAAUUGACGGGGGCCCGCACAAGCGGUGGAGCAUGUGGUUUAUUCGACGCAC